AUUGAACGCUGGCGGCAGGCUUAACACAUGCAAGUCGAGCGAGCGGCGGACGGGUGAGUAAUUUCUGGGAAACUGCCUGAUGGAGGGGGAUAACUACUGGAAACGGUAGCUAAUACCGCAUACCAUCAGAUGUGCCCAGAUGGGAUUAGCUAGUAGGUGGGGUAAUGGCUCACCAAGGCGACGAUCCCUAGCUGGUCUGAGAGGAUGACCGGCCACACUGGAACUGAGACACGGCCCAGACUCCUACGGGAGGCAGCAGUGGGGAAUAUUGGACAAUGGGCGAAAGCCUGAUGCAGCAAUGCCGCGUGAGUGAAGAAGGCUUUCGGGUUGUAAAGCACUUUCAGCGAGGAGGCGUUACCCGCAGAGAAAGCAACGGCUAACUACGUGCCAGCAGCCGCGGUAAUUC
rnacentral:rRNA from 1 species